AACGAACGCUGGCGGUAUGCUUAACACAUGCAAGUCGAACGGGUUUGGGGCAACUCCAAAUUAGUGGCAAACGGGUGAGUAAUGCAGAGGAACCUCCCUAGCAGUAAGGAAUAAUUUUGGGAAGCCAAAACUAAUACCAUAUAUUACCGACCUAGUCGGGAAAGAUGCGUCGCUGUUAGAUGGGCCUCUGUCAGAUUAGCUUGUUGGUGAGGUAAUGGCUCACCAAGGCGAUGAUCUGUAGCUGGUCUGA
rnacentral:rRNA from 1 species